rnacentral:snoRNA from 1 species
GCGUGCCGGUGAUUAUUAAAGGUUAUCAAUGGUGAAUUCUACGAAUGUGCUCCCGUGCCAACGGGUGCGCAGCUGUAGUGAUAGUUCAUCUGAGGCACGC